rnacentral:rRNA from 1 species
GUGCCAGCAGCCGCGGUAAUACGUAGGUCCCGAGCGUUGUCCGGAUUUAUUGGGCGUAAAGCGAGCGCAGGCGGUUAGAUAAGUCUGAAGUUAAAGGCUGUGGCUUAACCAUAGUACGCUUUGGAAACUGUUUAACUUGAGUGCAAGAGGGGAGAGUGGAAUUCCAUGUGUAGCGGUGAAAUGCGUAGAUAUAUGGAGGAACACCGGUGGCGAAAGCGGCUCUCUGGCUUGUAACUGACGCUGAGGCUCGAAAGCGUGGGGAGCAAACAGGAUUAGAAACCCGCGUAGUCC